CUUAUGAACAGUAGGACAGUGUUCUUCCGGAAUUACCGGUUUUGUCCUUUUUCCCCUUUUCUUCUGUCCUUUUCUCUCUCUUCUUCUUUACUCAUUCUAUCCUUCUUUUCUUUGUCUGAGCUGUUCCCACGCACGCAGAACGGGCUCCCCCACGACGCAUAAAAUCCAGAUCCAGAAAGACGAAGGGCCGGUGGUGGGAAAAGGCCAUUGAAGCUUAUAUUAAGUGUGAAUCUUCUGAAAUUUUGGUUUGAGCUUCAUAAUUUGAGUUUUGAAUUUCGAUGUUAUUGAUGUUGGUUUUUACUGAUUUCGAUUGUGUUAAGGUCUCUGUUCAUUUUUCAUUUCUGAAGUUUUGUGAUUGAUUUUUAUAUCAAUUAUGUGUUUUUUGAUGGAGUGAAUUUGGGUAAUUUUGUUUUGCUUUUGAAUCUUGGUGUCCUGUUGGUUUAAUUAUUUUUUGCAUGUGAUAUUAGGCGAGUUUGAUUGGUUUCGUUUGUUGCUUGAAUUCGUUAAGUGAGCUUGAUUGGGUUCGUAAAGUGUAUUUUUGGGCUUAACAUGUUUUAUUUAGCUGUGUUUUAUUUAGUUGGUGGAUGUUCUGUCUGUAUUAAACCGGCGUUAUGCUUAAAUCUUGCAACUUUAUUCUCACUACUUGCAUGUUUAAGAAACGCUAGGCAAGUAAAAUUAAGUAUACCUGCCAAGAAAAUUCAUUUUGUUUUGGGGUUUUGCAGCUUUUACUUGUACUGUUAUUGUUUUUGUUAUUGUUCAGGUGAUAUUUGAUUUGCAUUUGUUUAUUGUGGUAAGAUUAUCCUAUAAACCCUAAUUAUUUAUAUGGUUCAACCACUAAUUAUUUUCGGGAUUUUAAUUUGUUCAAUAUUCUCCUCGACUAUGUUCAGAGGUGGUGGAGGUCUUCAAUUAUUUGCUCCAUUAGUGAAGUCGAUGAGGAGAGAGAAGCUGUGGAAGCAAGAGAAGGAAGAAGAUCAGAAAAAUAGUGCACUGUCAGAUUUUAAGUUAUUUGCUAAUGUGGGAUAUUGUAAGAAAUUUGGGUAGCAUACAAUUGGUCCUCAUUACCAAGCCAUUUUCCCAUGAGAUAAUGUAAUGUUUUAAUUUUUUUUGUUUUGUAUCUUACAUGUUCAUAUACUCCGUAGGAUACUUUUAAACUACCAACAAUAUUUAUUUUCCGCCUUGCUUUAAGGUUUUUUCCCAUCAAUCACGCACAAAUUUUCAACGUAGGAAUUAUGAACAACAGCAACAUUACGCGCAAAGAGGGAUGAUGCAAAAUCAUCAUCAGCUACAACAUCAGUUUCAACGGCAGCAACAGACAGCAGCAACAUCAACAACAUUUUCAGCAUCAUCAGCAACAAUUGCAGCAGAUACAACAGCAACAGAAUCAGCAGCAGAAGCAGAUGCAGCAGCAGCAACAACAACAGCAGCAAUGGCUUAGGAGGGGUCAGUUAGGGGGUAUAACGGUGGCCGGUGUUGACGAGGUUGAGAAGACAGUGCAGUCCGAAGCAAUUGACACGAGGGUGAAGGGUGUAUGAAUGCCCAAGCAAUUUUGUGGAGGAGAAUCAGAAAUUGGCGGCUAAAUGUUGAGGCCUGUAUCAGUGUUCGAAUUUAGCGAAUCAGUGUUGGAUAACUACAGUCAUCAAUGUGAGAUGCUUUCGGUAAGUAUUUCUCCUCAAUUUCAGUCCAUGCUCUUUUAAAUUCAUCCUCUUUCAUUUUGAUUUUUCGACUGAGAUAGUCCAAGGAGGAGUAAUUCAGGGGAAUGUGAGAAAAAAAAAAACCUAAGGAUUAACAUAAGUUAGCGCGCUAAAUUACUGACAAACAAUCCCAUAGCCUAUUGUUCUGUUUUCUCUUAUUUUAUAAAAAAAUUUGUGAAAAGUUAUUUUUUUCAUGGAAAUUGCAUUUUUUGAUAGAUACUACUGAUUUUACUGGAGUUGGAGUAAAUUAGGUCACAGGGAGUUGGAAAAUAGACAAUUAUGAGUUAUGAAUGAGAUUUAUAGGUUUGAUCCUACCUUUCCAUGUAAUUUUUAUUAUAACAUCCACUCCUAAAGUUAUACAAUUAUUGCUUAUUUAUAGAACGAAAGAAAUCGAGCGAUAAGAUGCAAACUCUUUUAUUCCGAUUCUAUAAAUUCAGCAUUCUUCAUUGAAGCUCAAAGUUCUGUACAAUAUUGAUACUCAUGUUUAUCUCUUUUCGGAUUAUUAUUAUUAAUUGAAUGACUUGGUCGUAUUUAUGAACUCAUGAGAACAUGAUUCUAGGCUUUCUCGAUUAUACUUAGUUAGAAAUCGGUAAUUAUGAUAGUUGUGAACCCUUGUGCCGAAGGAGUUAAAAGCAGCCGGGUGGUUCUUUCUGUUUCCUGUAACCAACAUAUGAGGUAUCUUAUCUUCUUAGUUCUUGUUCUCAUGUUGUUUAUGUAUUAAAGUGAUCUUGUCAAGGUAUAAUAUUUCUUUCUUAUUUUUGAUUUGGAGUGCUGAUAUUAAUUUCAGAUGCAUUGAAAUAUAUAUAUUUUCUGAUUUUUAAUUGAAUUCAUCUUAUGGAAUUUAUAUGUUAGACAAAGUAAUUAACUAUUUUGCUUUUGGAUUUUGUAAAAUUUGCUAAUUUCUAUGGGAAAUACUACGUAUAUGAUCGUUGUGGGCAAUUGUAUCUUUGUACUGGGGCACGUCAAAUAUAUGAUCAUUGUGGGCAAUUUGCCCUGUUCCAUUUCCUUUUCAAUUCCUAUAUCUUUUAUCUAAAUUUUCAAUUAGUUUCUUCCUCCGCACCUAAUCUAAAGAGAAUAAUAAAUCUUUGCCACAAUGUUAGUUUGACCAGUUACUUGAAUUGCCAAAAAAAAAAAUGUAAUAGUUUGGAACAUGAUUUGGGAGAUUUUUGGGAGAAUCGAAGGUGGGUGUUUGGUAUGAUUGGCUUAAAUGUACAUCUAAUACCUAACAUUGCCUAUUAUAAUAAUAUAGUUGUUAAGGGCUGUUAAAGUACAAAUUCUAACUGUUAUAUUUUGUUGUUUGAUGGGUUUUUAGUAUGAGAACUUUAUAGCUUAGAUACAUUAAUAUGCUCUUUUUUCCUCUUUUUCUGGUAACCAAUUAUCAGUAACACCCUCCAUUAUUGUAUAGAAUUGAACGGAAAAAAAUGCUUUGGGGGCUCUGAACUUUUAAAGUUUCUCCUCACAAGUAUUUCCAACUCUGUGAGUAAUUACUGGUUUUUUUAAUUGUGUUUUGGAAGAUAUGCGAGCUCUCGACGAGUUGAGGAAGCUGAAAUUGUUCUUUAAGGAUGAGAGCAGCCAUGGUCUUACAGUUUCGGAUGUCUAUGAACUUAUUCAGCAUGCUGACAAUGUGUUACCGAGGCUGUAAUGUCUAUGAACUUAUAGGUGACUACAAUUACAGGGUUGUUGUAUUCAGACGCGGAAAUAACCUUAAAAGGCCAGAGUUUCAUGUCAUUCUGCACUACUUCAUCAGUGAAUCUUCUGCCAAUAAGCCUCUUUCCAUCUGUAAUUUAUUUCAGUGAAUAAGAAACUAAAUAUAAGUGAUUGACAAAUAUAAUAAUAGCAACUGCAUCAAAUUUUGAAAUCCAAAGUAUAAACGUUUUCAAGAAUAUUGUCACAUAGUAACAGUUAAUGUGCUAUACUCUUAAGACUUAUGGUGUAAUGUGUAUAUCUCAUUCAUUACAGAUCGAUCAUCCUAUUGUUUAGCCACCCUUUAUUACA